rnacentral:rRNA from 1 species
CCACUGAAGUAAUUUUGAAGGGCCGCAGUAUUUUGACUGUGCAAAGGUAGCAUAAUCAUUAGUCUUUUAAUUGAAGGCUGGAAUGAAUGGUUGGAUAAGGUAAAUUCUGUUUUAUAUUAAUUUAUUGAAAUUAGAUUUUAAGUAAAAAGACUUAAAUGAUAUUAAGGGACGAGAAGACCCUAUAGAGUUUAAUAAAUAUAAUAAUUUAAUUAAGUUAAUAAGGAGUUUUUGAUUAUUAUGAGGUUUAUUUAAUUGGGGUGAUUAAAAGAUAAAAUGAACUCUUUUUUAAUUUUAAUAUUUUGUUUAGUUAAAUGAUCCAUAUUUAAUGAUUAGAAGAUUAAAUUACCUUAGGGAUAACAGCAUAAUUUUUUUUGGGAGUUCUUAUUGAAAAAAGAGAUUAUGACCUCGAUGUUGGAUUAAGAGAAAUUUUAGGUGUAGAUGUUUAAAAAUUAGGUCUGUUCGACCUAUAAAAUCUUACAUGA